GAGACCCCAGGUCAGGCGGGACUACCCGCUGAGUUUAAGCAUAUCAAUA
rnacentral:rRNA from 1 species